rfam:Ciona savignyi cont_40704, whole genome shotgun sequence.
GCUUAUCUCCAUUCCAGAUUGAAUAUACCCGAUCUCGUCUGAUCUCGGAAGUCAAGCAAUCUCGGGCUUGGUUAGUACUUGGAUGGGUGACCGCUUGGGAAUUAAUACGAAGUGUGAUAAGCA